GCUAUAAACCCGGACACUACCACCUCGCACACGGCACAACAACAAAGGCAACAGUUGUUCGCGUUGUAGUUUUCUAUUGUCGCUACUCGCUAAUUCGCUUUACAAACUUUAAUAACUUGAACGAGAGAUCCAUUGAUGUUAGCGAGAGCUAUGGAACCGAACCAGGCAGCAGCAUGUCCGACACGGAGGAGCAGGAGAUUAGUGUUAGUGACGCCGACACGCCGGUAAACGCUGAAGACUCCAGCUCCCUGCCGGAGGACGACUCUGAGCCCGAGCCUGAACGGGACGAGGUCGAGGAGGACGACCAACCAGCCACUGCAGCUAGUGCCCAGAACGACCAUCCAUGGCCCUACUUGCAGGAGAUGUUCUCGUUUGUCGGACUCGGCUCAAAUAAGGAUUCCUGGCUACUGAACUGUGUCAUGUGCAGACCCCAAGUCAAAGAGCUACGGGCUUACAAGAAUUCUCCAUCAAAUUUGAAAAAGCACAUUGUGCAUUAUAGCCACAGUCUACUCUAAACCAUGGGUCAGCAA